rnacentral:lncRNA from 1 species
CCCAAGCCUAGGUGAAAUUGGGGGUUGUAGGGUUCGUUGUUAGCCCGGUGUAAAACAACGAGUUGGAUAGUGCACUCGCAAAACUACCGGACUAUAAUCUUGGAUUAUAGUGGAAAUUCCCAAAGAUGCUUUGGGAAGUGGAUGUAGGAGCAGUGGAAGCUCCGAACCACUAUAAAACCUUGUGUUUGCGAUUGUCUGUUUUCAUACCUCUAUUUUUACUUUAGCUCAUACAUUUGUGUGUUUUAUUUU